rnacentral:misc_RNA from 1 species
UACAGAGGGUCUAAUCGUUAAUCGGCUUUACGGGGCCUAACGCGUGCGUAGGCGGCUUUUUAAGUCGGAUGUGAAAUCCCCGAGCUUAACUUGGGAAUUGCAUUCGAUACUGGGAAGCUAGAGUAUGGGAGAGGAUGGUAGAAUUCCAGGUGUAGCGGUGAAAUGCGUAGAGAUCUGGAGGAAUACCGAUGGCGAAGGCAGCCAUCUGGCCUAAUACUGACGCUGAGGUACGAAAGCAUGGGGAGCAAACAGG